rfam:Gossypium arboreum cultivar AKA8401 contig_115464_1, whole genome shotgun sequence.
AACCCAUGGUGAGGGCACCUUCUCAAUAAAUCCUUAUACCUCUCUCAUGCAUCAUAUAAAAAUCCAUUUGUACAAAGGAAGAGAUAUCAUUCCUCAAUUU